CCUACGGGAGGCAGCAGUGGGGAAUAUUGGGCAAUGGGCGCAAGCCUGACCCAGCAACGCCGCGUGAAGGAAGAAGGCUUUCGGGUUGUAAACUUCUUUUGUCAGGGACGAAGCAAGUGACGGUACCUGACUAAUAAGCUACGGCUACCUACGUGCCAGCAGCCGCCGUAAUACGUAGGUGGCAAGCGUUGUCCGGAUUUACUGGGUGUAAAGGGCGUGCAGCCGGGGAGACAAGUCAGCUAUGAAAUCCACGGGCUCAACCCGUGAACUGCAUUUGAAACUGUUUCCCUUGAGUGUCGGAGAGGUAAUCGGAAUUCCUUGUGUAGCGGUGAAAUGCGUAGAUAUAAGGAAGAACACCAGUGGCGAAGGCGGAUUACUGGACGAUAACUGACGGUGAGGCGCGAAAGCGUGGGGAGCAAACAGGAUUAGAUACCCCAGUAGUC
rnacentral:rRNA from 1 species